UGGCUCGGCGGAGGGAGCAGCGGCGCCUGCGGCGACUGGCAGAGGCUGACAAGCCCCGCAGGCUGGGGCGGCUCAAGUACCAGGACCCUGACAUUGAUGUGCAGCUCAGCUCCGACUUGUCGGGCUCACUCAGGACAUUGAAGCCAGAAGGUAACAUACUCUGAGACAGGUUCAAGAGCUUCCAGAAGAGGAAUAUGAUCGAGCCCCGGAAGCGAGCCAAGUUCAAGCGCAAAUACAAAGUGAAGCUGGUGGAGAAGCGAGCCUUCCGGGAGAUACAGUUGUAGCUGUGCAGAUGUUGGAGCCCCGCCCCUCAAUAAAGUGCUGUGACCGCCCCGGG